AUGCGGUCGAUACUUUCUCUAAGCUAUCAGGAUAUGCCUUCACGGCUAAGACCUUGCCUCUUGUACCUCAGCAUAUUUCUGGAGGACCGUGUAAUCGGCAGAGAUGACCUGAUACGGAGAUGGAUAGCUGAAGAUCUAGUACAUGGAAGACAAGAAGAUGACGACCUGUAUGAGUUAGGAGACAAGUGCUUUAACGAGCUAAUCAGUAGGAAUAUGAUCCAACCCAGCGACAUUGAUGCCUUUGGGACGCCGCAAGCAUGUAAAAUACACGACUUGGUGUUGGAGUUUGUUACAGUCUUGUCAGCUGAAGAAGGUUUCAUCACAAUAUUGGACGGCCAGCAACCUUUUCCACCACAGCCAGACAGCAUCCGCCGGCUCUCUCUCCGGAACAGCAGCAUACCUCAGUCUACCAAGAGGUUGCCUCAUGUGAGGACGCUUGUUGCUAUCAACUCGGUGCCACCCCUCUCUGUUGAAAAUCAUAUGAGAUUUGAGUGA
rnacentral:rRNA from 1 species